rnacentral:rRNA from 1 species
UACGGGGGGGGCAAGCGUUGUUCGGAAUUACUGGGCGUAAAGGGCUCGUAGGUGGCCAACUAAGUCAUACGUGAAAUCCCUCAGCUUAACUGGGGAACUGCGUCUGAUACUGGUUGGCUUGAGUGCAGGAGAGGAACGCGGAAUUCCAGGUGUAGCGGUGAAAUGCGUAGAUAUCUGGAGGAACACCGGUGGCGAAGGCGGCGUUCUGGACUGCAACUGACACUGAGGAACGAAAGCCAGGGGAGCAAACGGG